GGGGAAUAUUGCACAAUGGGGGAAACCCUGAUGCAGCGACGCCGCGUGGAGGAAGAAGGUCUUCGGAUUGUAAACUCCUGUUGUUGGGGAAGAUAAUGACGGUACCCAACAAGGAAGUGACGGCUAACUACGUGCCAGCAGCCGCGGUAAAACGUAGGUCACAAGCGUUGUCCGGAAUUACUGGGUGUAAAGGGAGCGCAGGCGGGAAGACAAGUUGGAAGUGAAAUCUAUGGGCUCAACCCAUAAACUGCUUUCAAAACUGUUUUUCUUGAGUAGUGCAGAGGUAGGCGGAAUUCCCGGUGUAGCGGUGGAAUGCGUAGAUAUCGGGAGGAACACCAGUGGCGAAGGCGGCCUACUGGGCACCAACUGACGCUGAGGCUCGAAAGUGUGGGUAGCAAACAGGAUUAGAUACCCUGGUAGUCCACACCGUAAACGAUGAUUACUAGGUGUUGGAGGAUUGACCCCUUCAGUGCCGCAGUUAACACAAUAAGUAAUCCACCUGGGGAGUACGACCGCAAGGUUGAAACUCAAAGGAAUUGACGGGGGCCCGCACAAGCAGUGGAGUAUGUGGUUUAAUUCGACGCAACGCGAAGAACCUUACCAAGUCUUGACAUCCCUUGACAGACAUAGAAAUAUGUAAUCUCUUCGGAGCAAGGAGACAGGUGGUGCAUGGUUGUCGUCAGCUCGUGUCGUGAGAUGUUGGGUUAAGUCCCGCAACGAGCGCAACCCUUAUGGUCAGUUACUACGCAAGAGGACUCUGGCCAGACUGCCGUUGACAAAACGGAGGAAGGUGGGGAUGACGUCAAAUCAUCAUGCCCUUUAUGACUUGGGCUACACACGUACUACAAUGGCGUUAAACAAAGAGAAGCAAGACCGCGAGGUGGAGCAAAACUCAGAAACAACGUCCCAGUUCGGACUGCAGGCUGCAACUCGCCUGCACGAAGUCGGAAUUGCUAGUAAUCGCGGAUCAGCAUGCCGCGGUGAAUACGUUCCCG
rnacentral:rRNA from 1 species